rnacentral:rRNA from 1 species
AUGCAUUGGAUGCUCGGCUCACUCACAAGGAAGGUGUUGUCACCAUGUGCAUAUUGGAGUCAAGCUAGGAUGAUCAAUGAACUACUAUCUACCUUCAAUUGGUAUCUACUACAUCCUUCCAAUGAUAUCUCGGUAACAAGUAUCUAUUCAUGCCUUCCCUUCUUGCACUCAACCUUGUGUAGGUUGUAUCUUGGCAUGAUAUUCAUCUCAUAUCUUGUGAUACUUGUUUUCUUUCUCAAAGCAUCACAACGAUGUUCUCUUGUUGCUAGUUGUGAUGCCUUUGAUGGGUGUGCGGUAGGACUUCAUUUAUAUACAAUAAGACCAUAUCUAGCCAAGUGCUAUGCUUUCAAGCAAAUAUCUUAUUGGUAUAUUUAUGACUUCCUUGUGGGUAUCUUGUUCCUUCGUUCUGUAACUAUUUCGGGUGUACAUCCUUCUUUGUAUAUAUAUAUAUAUCAUCAUGAUUUCGUCUACCUAGAACCCUAUACACUUGAGAGAACUUACAUCUCUAGUUGA